CUGGGAUCCCAGCAGGAAUCCCUACGUGAGCAUUUUUGAGCCCAGUGCAGGUCUGGCCUGGAGAUCGUACCACCCGAGGAAUUCUCAAAAGUUGAAGAGAGGGCUCUGCCUUCUUCCCCCUGGUCCUGCACCUGCCCCUGCUAUGACAUCACUAACGUCUACUCCUGGUCUCCUGAGCAGCCCACAUCUGCUUGUUUGACCAGCCUCAGCCACCGAGGGGUUGAGGGCCCCAGUUCCUGCCACCUACUGUCAUCUGCUCGUGUGCAUGGAGGGGAGAGGCCCAGCAGCCCCUCACUCUGGGCUUCACUAGAACUGGGGCAGAGGCAGAAGUGGGGCACCUCCUGCUGGCCCCCCACUUCUUCCCCUGGGCCCAGGCAUGGAGGUGCCUCUCAGGAUGGAGACCACACUGUGGGAGCUGGCAGUGCGGGAACAGCCAGAUCUCAGGUCCUGGUUCUACUCCUGGGUGUACCCAGAACCUCCACAUCUCUCUCCUCACAGAUCCAGGACCUGCCGGGUUGUGUUGGAAGCUUCCACCAUGAUGCACACACAAAGACACGAAGGAGAGGAAAGGACACACCAAAGCCCGGGAGAGACGAAGGCAGGGCACAGUCGAUGGAGCCGGUCAGGAGACCCGCGUGGGUCAGCAGGCAUCUGCUCCGUGAACUGUAGUCCCGCCCGUGACAAAGGUAGUGGUCUCGCGUGGCCCUCCAGCCAUCCCGCCUCUCAGAGCGCAGCGCAGGACCAAGCAGAGCCUGGAGCAUCCCCACGCCUGCCAGGGGGGCUGCUGCCACCCCUCCUUCUCAGCGAAGGAGAGGGGAGAGGCCGGCACCCCUGGGCCUUGCCCGCCUUUGGUGUGCAGACCCAGCCACUCUGGGGCGCCGGGGGGCCAGAGGCAGAGGGCAUAAGCUCUGUGCAAACAUCCUGCCUUCUCCCCAGGAUAUUGUCUUUAAUAAAAGACCAUGGAAAUGUCAGCUAGUCUAAACAAAUAGCCAAGUUUUAUGGAGGAUGAGCAGCCUGCCUACAAGCGCCUCCAGGGCCUGCUUUUCAAGGUGGCCUUGGAAAAUUGUGUGCCAGCAAGGAAGUGUGGAAUCUUGCCUGUCGGGGUGAGCAUUUAGGAUCGUGACAACUGAGCCCAGAAAGGCAGGGCUUGCAAGGUCCCUGGGGAGGAAGGGGCAGGUAGACCCUGGGCCUGGUGUGGGGUGACUGGCCUUUAGG
rnacentral:lncRNA from 1 species